CGUUGAAACAUUGGUUCACGUAUGACCACUGAAGUUAAGCAACUUCGAGCUUGGUCAGUACCUAGAUGGGUGACCGCUUGUAACUACUAGGUGCUGUAAG